UACAGAGGUCCCAAGCGUUGUUCGGAUUCACUGGGCGUAAAGGGUGCGUAGGUGGUUAGGUAAGUCCGAUGUGAAAUCUCCAGGCUCAACCUGGAAAUGGCAUUGGAUACUAUUUAGCUUGAGGAGUGGAGGGGGGACUGGAAUUCUCGGUGUAGCAGUGAAAUGCGUAGAUAUCGAGAGGAACACCAGUGGCGAAGGCGAGUCCCUGGACACUUCCUGACACUGAGGCACGAAAGCUAGGGGAGCAAACAGG
rnacentral:rRNA from 1 species